rnacentral:rRNA from 1 species
CCAACAGGGAUUGCCCUAGUAACGGCGAGUGAAGCGGCAACAGCUCAAAUUUGAAAUCUGGCUCUCGGGCCCGAGUUGUAAUUUGUAGAGGAUACUUUUGAUCCGGUGCCUUCCGAGUUCCCUGGAACGGGACGCCAUAGAGGGUGAGAGCCCCGUCUGGUUGGAUGCCAAAUCUCUGUAAAGUUCCUUCGACGAGUCGAGUAGUUUGGGAAUGCUGCUCUAAAUGGGAGGUAUAUGUCUUCUAAAGCUAAAUACCGGCCAGAGACCGAUAGCGCACAAGUAGAGUGAUCGAAAGAUGAAAAGCACUUUGAAAAGAGAGUUAAAAAGUACGUGAAAUUGUUGAAAGGGAAGCGUUUAUGACCAGACUUGGGCUUGGUUAAUCAUCUGGGGUUCUCCCCAGUGCACUUUUCCAGUCCAG